UGUCGUCCCCUCCCACGCCCCAGCGCGCUGUGUUGGGAUAGUGGCAGUAUAAAGUAUAUCUUCCAUCCGAGACAGAUAAGAAGCGCCAGGCUAGAGGGGAUGAAGAUGGCGGACGCCAAGCAGAAAAGGAACGAGCAGUUAAAGCGCUGGAUAGGCUCGGAGACGGAUCUCGAGCCGCCCGUCCUGAAGAAGAAGAAGACGAAGGUGAAGUUCGACGAAGGCGCCGUGUUUCUGGCCGCCUGCUCGAGCGGCGACACGGAGGAGGUGCUGCGAAUGCUCGACCGCGGCGCGGACAUCAACUACGCUAAUGUAGACGGACUCACCGCUCUGCACCAGGCCUGCAUAGACGAUAAUGUGGACAUGGUGACCUUCCUGGUGGAGCAUGGAGCCUGCAUCAAUCAGCCCGACAAUGAAGGCUGGAUUCCCCUUCACGCUGCUGCUUCCUGCGGAUACCUCGACAUCGCUGAGUAUCUUAUCAGUCAAGGUGCAAACGUUGGCGUAGUAAACAGCGAGGGAGAAACGCCAUUGGAUAUCGCAGAGGAGGAGGCCAUGGAGGAGCUUCUGCAAAACGAGAUCAACCGGCAAGGCGUGGAUAUCGAGUCGGCCAGGAAAGAGGAGGAGCGGAUCAUGCUAAGGGAUGCACGACAGUGGCUUAACAGCGGCCAGAUCAACGACGUCCGACACACCAAGUCUGGGGGGACCGCACUACACGUCGCUGCCGCCAAGGGAUACACUGAAGUUUUAAAGCUUUUAAUCCAAGCAGGGUAUGAUGUAAAUAUUAAAGACUACGAUGGCUGGUCUCCGCUCCACGCUGCUGCACACUGGGGCAAAGAAGAGGCCUGCCGGAUACUAGUAGAGCAUUUGUGCGAUAUGGACAUGGUCAAUAAAGUGGGUCAGACGGCGUUUGACGUAGCUGAUGAAGAUAUCUUGGGAUAUUUAGAAGAGCUGCAAAAGAAACAGAAUCUGCUUCUGAGUGAAAAGAAGGAUGUUAAGAAGUCUCCUUUAAUAGAAACGACGACUACUGGGGACAAUAAUCAAUCUGUGAAACCACUGAAGAGUAAAGAAACGCUUCUACUGGAGCCAGAGAAGACUGUCCCACGAAUCGAGACUCUGGAGCCAGAGAAGGUGGAUGAAGAAGAGGGCGAGGGGAAGAAGGAUGAGUCUAGCUGCUCUAGUGAGGAAGAGGAGGAGGAAGACUCGGAGUCUGAGAACGAAGCAGACAAGACCAAGUCUUCUGUUCCGACGACCAUUUCCAACAGUACACCUGCACCUGUGCCUGCUGGUAUCACAGUCACGUCCCCAACUACCCCAAGCAACCAGGUGACCACCCCAACCUCACCUACCAAAAAGUCUGAUAACAUUACUGCCCUUGUGCCUGGGGGGGAGCCAGGCUGUCCUGCAUUGUGGCGUCAAGGCUUGCGCAAAACUGGCAUUUCACUUGUGCCCAAAAAAGCGAUGGUGAGCACACCUCCAGGGAAGGUGUCUCCUAAAGAGGAGGACAGGAAGGAUGAGUCUCCUGCAUCGUGGCGACUGGGCCUGCGGAAAACCGGCAGUUAUGGAGCACUGGCAGAAAUCAGCACAACUAAAGAGGCACAGAAAGAGAAGGACACAGCCGGGGUGAUGCGCUCGGCCUCUUCUCCUCGCCUCUCAUCCUCACUGGACAAUAAGGACAAGGAAAAGGAGAAGGAGAAGACACGCCUGGCGUAUGUUGCACCAUCCAUCCCAAGGAGACACGUUAGCACAUCGGACAUUGACGAGAAGGAAAACAGGGAUUCGGCUGCUAGUCUGGUACGUAGUGGCUCGUACACCAGGAGACGCUGGGAGGAAGACCUGAAGAACAGCGACGGAACCGCCUCACAAAACAGAACCUCCAGCUAUCAGCGCAGUACGUCUCACACGCUAGCGUUAGGCCGCACGUCUAGCUCUCGCGACCUGCCCACCAAAUCCUCCUCUGCCUCCAGCCUGGAACCUAACAACUGGAGGAAGGAGCAGCCUUCCUCCUACUACCAGUCUAACAGCAUUCACCGCAGCGGGUCGUUUGGAAGGAGACAGGAUGAUGCUUUAAGUUCCACUUCUUCCUCCACCGCCACCACAACAACGACCUCCACCUCCUCUGUUACCUCACCCACCGGAUAUCGCAGCCUGCUGGCCAGGUACUGGGCAGAAGAGAGUAUGGAGAAGGAGAAGGAGAAGGAGAAGGAGAAGGAGAAGAAGGAGAAAGAGUCAGCCACGGUCAUCCCCACAAUCAACACUGCAGCAACCACCACCACCACCUCCACUACUGGAACUGUGUUGGGCUCUGACGGACGAGAGAGACGCAGUAGAUCAUACCUCACCCCGGUGCGUGACGAAGAGUCGGAGUCUCAGCGGAAAGCCAGAUCCAGACAGGCGCGGCAGUCCAGGAGGUCCACACAGGGUGUGACCUUGACUGAUCUCCAGGAGGCAGAGAAGACCAUCGGUCGCAGUCGUCCCACGCGGCCUCGAGAAGAGGAGAAAGAAGAGAAGGAGAAACAGGACAAGGAGAAACAAGAAGAGAAGAAAGAGACGGAAACCAAGGAGGAUGACUACAGGUCACGCUACCGUAGCUUUGAAGAGAAGUACCGGAGCACCUCUUUGGCCUCGACCACCACGGCCUCCUCCACCCUGCCUUCCUCCUCGUCUAGCAGCUCGUCUUCUCUGUACAGCACCUCCUCUCUGAACCGGCCCAACAGCCUGAGCGGUCUCACUUCCUCCUACAGCCGCACCACACGCGACACUGAGAGAGAGUCUGAUAGAAAAGAUAAAGAAGAUGACGCUGAAGACAAGUCUCAGCCACGCUCUAUACGUGAGCGCAGACGACCUCGAGAGAAGAGACGCUCGACUGGAGUGUCCUUCUGGACCCAGGAUAGUGACGAGAACGAUCCAGAUCAGCCUUCAGAUGAAGAAGGCAGCACUAAAGGAGAGCCCCAGAGCGACAGACUAUCCAGGAAUGACCCUGUCUCUACUAGCACUUCCUCCCUCGACCGUUACGAGCCUUUGAGUAGCCGUGGCAUAGGAGAGAGCCGGCGGCCAUAUUCUCGCUUCGAAAGAGACGACACCAAUGAUUAUAAGAAGCUUUAUGAGCAGAUUUUAGCUGAAAACGAGAAGUUGAAAGCUCAGUUACGUGAUACAGAACUGGAGCUGGCAGACCUGAAACUGCAGCUGGAGAAAGCCACGCAGAGGCAGGAGCGUUUUGCUGAUCGAUCGCAGCUGGAGAUGGAGAAAAGGGAAAGAAGAGCUCUAGAAAGGAAGAUUUCUGAAAUGGAGGAGGAACUAAAGAAUCUUCCUCAGGUAAAGCAGGUGCAGUCUCUGCGUCAGUAUAAUGAGCGUUUGCAGGCAGAGAACAGGGCGCUGGCUCGCGUGCUCUCCAAAAUCUCACAGGGCUGCAGCCACCUUCCCGCUGUAGACCUGUAGACCCGCCCCCACCUCCCCUUACACUCCUCAUGCUUCAUUCAGCUCCGCCCACGCCCAUAUAAAGACGCUACCAGACUUGAAAGCAGACAACCAGAGGCUAAAGGACGAGAACGGAGCGCUGAUCCGAGUCAUAAGCAAGCUUUCCAAAUAGAAAAGACCCUCUCCACAACCUCCGACAGUAAACGGUAUUGCACAUCUAGAUAUUAAUACGAGACAACGGCGACAAGAAGGCUCCGUCUCCCCCCCUCGGUUUCUCAGUCCUCAGCUUUCCCUCGCUUCACCACCUCACCCCUCACACAGAACCACUGCGUUUACAGAACUAAGGAAAAGCGUUAGACGAGAGAAUGGCAUUGAACACUUUGCGGGCGGGGAAAGCCUCGAAAAACUAUUUAACCAAUAAGCCUUAGUUUGUACAUACGUCACUUGCAUCAAAUUUCUCUUGGCUGUCACAGAACACCUGAUUUUAUUUGUGCCACUUUUUUUUUCUUUUUGUGAUCUAUCCUUCUUUUUUGUUGUUGUUUUUUUUUUUUGCUCCGCUCUGUAUAGAUGAGUUAUGCAAUGUGCAGCUCUCUCCUUCCAUGUCCUCUUCCUGUCCUCAUCAUCCACCCCUAAUCGUGCUAGAAGUCCCGCCUCGUCCUCCGAGGCACUGUCUCUCAGCAGAAGACUUCCCAGCAUUCCACAAUGUUGGCGCACGCACCGCACACUUCCUCCUCUCUCUCUCUCUCUCUCUCUCUCUCUCUUUUGACGGACCCCUGGCUUUACCAAUUAGGUGGACCUUGUGGAAUUGAAGCUUUCACUUAUGUGCAAUAUAUGCAUUUCUUUCUAUACAAAUGCUUUAAGAAUGAGUCCGUCACUAGUAAAUGUUCACUCUUUCACCACUUUUGGAUUCUUUCCUCUUCCCCCCGACUUCUUUCUCUCGUUUCUUUGAGUUUGUAGUGUAGUUGUUGGUUUAUAUCUUGUACUCCUCACGUUGUUUUAGCAGGUACUGAGUGAAGUUGUAUAUACCUGUAUGUAUCGUUUGAGACCAGCACAUGGCAUGCAUUUAUUGGUUCCCUGUCUGUUACUAUUGAAAUAUACCAACUCCAGAGGACAAAGUGUUUUAACUAUUUCCUCCUCUUUUUAUAGUUGGAAAAGAUAUUGAAUAACAAUAGAGCCGCCCUCUUCAAAGAGGGGAGGCUGCACUUCUUAAGUGCAUUUUUUUUUCUCUUUUUCUCAGUUUUAAAAGUGUUCGCGGUAAUUGUGAGAUAAUAAUAUAAUUGCUUCACUACAUUUCAUACAUUUUAUUCAGUAUCUUUGGAAGAGUGCUGUUCUUUUUUUCUUUUUUUUUCACUUUUCUCUCUUUUUUUUUUUAAGCUGUUGUAUUAGCCAAGGUGUUGUCACUAAAAAGAAGAUCCUAGAUAUCGCUAACCCAGUCCUUUUUACAAUGUCUACAUGCACUGUCAAUGCCAUGUCAGGAGUCUUGCUGUCCGGUUUAGCCAACUUUUGCCACCGUGUCAGAUGAAGUCCAUGCAUCAGAAAAACGUUUUAUGCAUUUCAGUGGCCUUUUACUAAAUACUGUAGUCGGGAAAAAAAUGUCGCUGUAGUUGGACUGUCAGCUGUCUCCUCUUUGGUUUAGGUUUUUAAUUUGUUGUUGUUUUUUUUCUUUCUUUUUAAAAUUCCCAUCAUCUUGUAAAAUAGAUGUGUGGCUUCAUCCGUGCAAGCUGUGCUGUGACUACCAACCACUGAGAGUUAAUUAAAAUAAACUUGUACAUUGUAAAAAUC